UACAGCAUCCAUUCUGGAAAGAUGCUUUCAGCAGAUAUGAUGAUGAUUCCGCAAAUAGCCAGGACAUAAGCUCAAGUGAAACCACAGAGUUGUUUGUAUCUAGAGAUACCAAGGACCCAUUGGAUACCCAUAAAACUUCGAAUGACAUGUCAUCCUCACGAACAGAUAAUAAGCAGCUUAAAUCUUUCAAACUAGAACAUCCAUCUGAGUUGCGGCCUAAAAGUGCACCUGAUGGUGAAUCAAAUGAGUCCAUAUUUCUUCUGAGCUCUCGUCCCACUCCGAGGACUAGCACUGCAGUAGAAAUGAAUAGUGCUACUGCUGCCUUAACUCAGAAU
rnacentral:lncRNA from 1 species